AUUGAACGCUGGCGGCAUGCUUUACACAUGCAAGUCGAACGGCAGCGCGGGCUUCGGCCUGGCGGCGAGUGGCGAACGGGUGAGUAAUGCAUCGGAACGUGCCCAGUAGUGGGGGAUAGCCCGGCGAAAGCCGGAUUAAUACCGCAUACGACCUGAGGGUGAAAGCGGGGGACCGAAAGGCCUCGCGCUAUUGGAGCGGCCGAUGUCGGAUUAGCUAGUUGGUGGGGUAAAGGCUUACCAAGGCGACGAUCCGUAGCUGGUCUGAGAGGACGACCAGCCACAGGGGAGCGAGAACGCGCCCGAGACCCCGCGGGGGGGCAGCGGGGGGAAUUUUGGGAAAAGGGGGGCACCCCUGACCCACCAUGGCCGGGGGGGGAAAAAGGGCGUCGGGUUUGAACACCGGUUUUUUGGGGAAAGAACCCCUGGGGCCUAAACCCCGGGGGGAAGGAGGGUCCAGAAAAAAAAAGCACCGACAAACUACGGG
rnacentral:rRNA from 1 species